rnacentral:rRNA from 1 species
AGGCAACCCCCACAUUCCUGGCUCCAACUCCAACAUCGUGCGUGUUCCAACUCCGGUAGCGUACUCCUCCCCUAAAAGAACUCCGGUGGCGUACUACUAGAAAACAGCAGAGACGGCUGUGCCCUGCUCCUCCUUCUCGCCGGUGCCUUCUGCUGGAGGCAAACGAAACUCCUCCUCCUCCUCCUGCCCCUCUCUCCCACGCUUCCCCCUUCGUCUCCGUCGACAGGAAGCAACCAGGAGAGGCGAGGCGGCGACGAUGCAGAUGAAGCAGAAGGUCUACGAGCUCUACAAGGGGACGGUGGAGCGGGUCACGGGCCCGCGCACCGUCUCGGCGUUCCUCGAGAAGGGCGUCCUCUCCGUCCCCGAGUUCAUCCUCGCCGGCGACAACCUCGUAUCCAAGUGCCCAACCUGGUCCUGGGAGGCGGGCGAUCCGAGCAAGAGGAAGCCAUACCUCCCCUCCGAUAAGCAGUUCCUCGUCACCAGGAACGUGCCCUGCCUAAGACGAGCUGUGGCGGUCGAGGAAGAGUAUGAUGCAGCGGGAGCUGAGGUUGUUCUCGAUGAUGAUGAGGAUGGCGAAGGCUGGCUCGCAACACAUGGGCUGCAAGAGUCAAAAGAGGAGGAAGACAUACCGUCUAUGGAUACAUUGGACAUAGGGAAAGUCGAAGAGAUCAAAUCUAUCCCCUCCUACUUUGGUGCUAGUGAAAAGCCAGAUGAGGAGGAGGAUAUACCUGACAUGGACACCUAUGAAGACACAGGAGAUCAUUCUACAGCUACCCCUCAGCCUUCAUAUUUUGUCGCAGAAGAGCCUGAUGAUGACAACAUUCUUCUCACCAGAACAUAUGAUGUUAGCAUCACAUAUGACAAGUACUACCAAACUCCACGUGUCUGGCUUACAGGCUAUGAUGAGGCAAGAAUGCCAUUAAAGCCUGAACUUGUGUUUCAAGAUAUCAGUCAAGACCAUGCACACAAAACGGUGACUAUCGAAGACCAUCCUCACUUGUUAGUGGGACAGCACGCUUCCGUGCAUCCUUGCAAGCACGCUGCUGUGAUGAAAAAGAUCAUUGAUGUUAUAGUGUCUCAAGGAGGUGCACCAGAAGUUGACAAGUACCUUUUCAUAUUUCUCAAAUUCAUGGCUUCUGUCAUACCCACCAUUGAGUAUGAUUACACUAUGGAUUUCGAUCUGGGCAGUACAAGCACAUAAGCCGCCCAUUGAAGAAAAGCUGAAACUCCCGAGAAGGAAGAUUGUCCUGAUUGGUCCUCUUACGGUGUGGUGCCGCACUGAUAUGACAUUUGUGAUUCUUCGCCGACAAAUCUGAAUUAUCUUGAAUCUUGAAAAUCGAAGGAUAGAUAAAAAUUCCCAC